AGGUUCUAUGGGAUCUACUUGUGUCUGCUUUAAUAUUGACAGUCAAGUUUGUCAUAUCAAAGAUCAUAUCGAUACAACUUAAAUUGUGACAUUCAGUACACCUACUGGAGCUUAUAGAAAUAUUGGCACAACCUUAUCAGAAGUGUCCCUAGUUUAUCAGUUCUCUUUGUAUCUCAUUUAUAUAUCAGUACAUUUAAGAUUGUGCUAGUGAGCUCAGAAUUUCAUUCAACCAAAAAUGAAGACUGAGAGACACGGACAUUAGGCUAGAAUUUGAUAGACCAAGCUCGUCAUUUGAUCUGGGAAGACCUGUUUAGCUGCAGCGUUCUGUUACUUUAGCUAAUAUAAUUCAACUUAAUGAACUGAAUGGAGUUAAUUAUAUUGGAGAUCAAGAACUUUCAUUGACAGAGAUUUAGCUCAUUAGAACUGCUCUGUCUCUGUGUGAAGUCGAUUCAGAUAGGGGGUGCUACUUGAAACAAAUUUUCAAGGACAGAAGCUGGAAUGCAGAACUUGACUGUUAUGAGAAGAAGCUGAAUCUUGGGCAGCCCGGUGCACUAAAGCUACCGCUAUGCGCGGUGUCCAGGGAAGGGCCCCACCACAAGGGUGUAUCGUACGCAGCCUUACCUUGCAUUUCUGCCAGAGGCUAUUUCCAAGGCUUGAACCCGUGACCUCCUGGUCACAUGGCAGCAACUUUACCAGUUACUCCAAGGCUCCCCUUCAAGAAAAUUUAUUAUUGCCAAGUAAAAACUAAACUCUCAAUCCAAUUCCAUAUUUAUCAAUUCAAGUUCAUGAAGAUAUACUGUCUGUAAGGUUUUCUUCUAAUUUUUUUAAAACUAUUCCAGAUGAAUAUUAGAUAUUGUUUCAUUCCAUAGAGAGGCCCACAAAAUAUAAAGAGACACAUUUCAAGCAAAUGCCAAUUAAUUUCGUAAAGGUCAAAAAUAAAAAGGAAAGCCUGAUUGCUAGAUUGAAGAAUUGAAUCUAUUACUCAAGGAGAUGCAAUACCGACUUCUCUGUUGCAACUCGAAAUCUACCAUGUACAGAAGCACCAAGUCCACCUCCCAUGACAAUUCCAUUAAGGAUGGAAACCUUCAACGGGCAGUUCAAAUAAGAUUAACGAAUUCCUCAGAGAAUUGUAUCAUAAAAUUAAAAUUACACAUAACCAAAGUUAACCUGGGGUUUACUAUAUGUUGCCAUCACAUAGUUAAGGGUGAAUUCUUCACGAAAAUAAUCAGCACCCAGUUUCCAGAAGGGCCCCACCACAAGGGUGUAUCGUACGCAGCCUUACCUUGCAUUUCUGCCAGAGGCUAUUUCCAAGGCUUGAACCCGUGACCUCCUGGUCACAUGGCAGCAACUUUACCAGUUACUCCAAGGCUCCCCUUCAAGAAGCUGAAUCUUGAUUCCAUGAAAAUUCUAAGAUAAGCAAAGAAAAGAAUACAGAAGAAAGUGACCCUGUUGUGGUCUUGAAUGGAAUAAUGAAUAGAGAAAGAGGAAGAGAAUCAAGAUCUAAAGAAGGAAUAGGAGCCUGAUAGGAUCUGGAGCUAAAGAAAAAGGGACAGAAAUAUUAAGAGAAUGAUAUUUUGAAGAGAAAUAGGAUGGAAUGAUUUCUUCUGCAAAUGCAUCAAGUGAUUCACUCUCAUAAGUCAUACGUCUAAUUUGACAGAACUAAUUUCAUCCACCACAACUAAGUGUAGUUACCUUCACUUACAUGCUUGUUGCCCCCUCUUGAGGUGUCUGUUUGUGCGUGUUUUCUGUUUAAUGUAAAGUUGUUAGGACCAGCAACUCUUGUGUUAUGGUUGGUAAAUUCUGAAGUUAAUAUAUUCUUUAAACAGCAAAUUGCUUGCACCUUUUUUUCUGGCUCCUGAUAGUUUAC
rnacentral:lncRNA from 1 species